rnacentral:rRNA from 1 species
UACGUAGGGGGCUAGCGUUGUUCGGAAUUACUGGGCGUAAAGGGCUCGUAGGCGGCCAACUAAGUCGGACGUGAAAUCCCUCAGCUUAACUGGGGAACUGCGUCCGAUACUGGAUGGCUUGGAUUUGGGAGAGGGAUGCGGAAUUCCCGGUGUAGCGGUGAAAUGCGUAGAGAUGUGGAGGAACACCGAUGGCGAAGGCAGCCCCCUGGGCUAACACCUGACGCUCAUGCACGAAAGCGUGGGGGACAAACAGG